GGGCGCUUGGUCUAGGGGUAUGAUUUUCGCUUCGCAUUCUAGGUGUUACCCGGAAGCAGCUUGUGAAAGGUCCAGGGUUCAAUUCCCUGAGCGUCCA